rnacentral:rRNA from 1 species
UACGGAGGGUGCAAGCGUUGUUCGGAAUCACUGGGCGUAAAGCGCACGUAGGCGGCCGAUCGUGUCGAGUGUGAAAGCCCUCGGCUUAACCGAGGAAGUGCACUCGAAACUGGUCGGCUUGAGUCCGGUAGAGGAGGGUGGAAUUCCGGGUGUAGAGGUGAAAUUCGUAGAUAUCCGGAGGAACACCGGUGGCGAAAGCGGCCCUCUGGGCCGGUACUGACGCUGAGGUGCGAAAGCGUGGGGAGCAAACAGG